CUUGGUCAUUUAGAGGAAGUAAAAGUCGUAACAAGGUCUCCGUUGGUGAACCAGCGGAGGGAUCAUUACAGAGUUUAACCACUCAAAACCAUUGUGAACCUUACCUCAACCGUUGCUUCGGCGGGCGGGCCCCAAAAGCCCCCCCGGCCCCUCGCGGGCGCCCGCCGGAGGUUAACCGAACCCUUGAAUUGUAUGGCCUCUCUGAGUCUUCUGUACUGAAUAAGUCAAAACUUUCAACAACGGAUCUCUUGGUUCUGGCAUCGAUGAAGAACGCAGCGAAAUGCGAUAAGUAAUGUGAAUUGCAGAAUUCAGUGAAUCAUCGAAUCUUUGAACGCACAUUGCGCCCGCCAGUAUUCUGGCGGGCAUGCCUGUCCGAGCGUCAUUUCAACCAUCAAGCCCCGGGCUUGUGUUGGGGCCCUGCGGCUGCCGCAGGCCCUGAAAACCAGUGGCGGGCUCGCUAGUCACUCCGAGCGUAGUAGUUUACACCUCGCUCAGGGCGUGCUGCGGGUUCCGGCCGUUAAAAGCCUUAUUUUACCCAAGGUUGACCUCGGAUCAGGUAGGAAGACCCGCUGAACUUAAGCAUAUCAAUAAGCGGAGGA
rnacentral:rRNA from 1 species